GGAGAACUGGGGACGCGUUGGGGGCGCUGUCCGUUCGCGCCUAAAGGAGGGGUUAAACGCCCCCCUCCCCGACAGGGCUCUCUCGCGAGGGGGGCGGAGCCUGAUCGCUGAUUGACUGCUGCCACAGCCAAUGAGCCCUCGAGCUGAGGAGGAAGGGCGGGCUGUGGCGGCAGAAGGGCCAGUGGCGGCGCGCGGUGGAGGGGUGGGGGUGUUUGUGAGGGGAGCGGGGCUGUGUGGAGCCCUUCUUGCCCUUACUGGUGCUCCUGCAGUCUGCCCGCCUCAGUGGAAGUGCGGUGUCUGUGGUGAUGGAGGCAUAGCCGGGGCCUGCAGCGUUCUGAGGCGGGUGAUAAGAAGGCUCUGGUGUCACAGUAAUGCCAGCUGUAAAACCCAUCAUAGCUGCACUGCUCUGUGUGACUGGUAAUGGAGGGCUGAACUGUCAUAGGGGGAGUUGGGCGGCCUGUGGAGGUUCUGUGUGUUGUGUGGGGGUGGGCAUUCAGUCUGUAAAUAAAGGUGGUUUGGGGGUUGGCAGCCCUCAUCUCAGCAUGCUUCAAUCAUCACCAAACUCAUCUCUUUUGAGGUAACUCCCAGGCGUUGUGAGAAGCACUGGCAGGAAAAGCUGGUGCUGGUUCUGUUUUCCCCACUGAAGCCUUCAGCCAUAACAUGCACACGAAUAUUGGCUUUUUAAGUAACUUCAAUUUUAUUCUUGCUUUUGGUGUAGGGUAAAGCUUAGAACGGAAACGUCUGCCGCAUUUGCAGCUUUUAAGCUGAAAAGGUUUAAAUGAAGAUUGGAAAGGAUCUCAAUGCACCAAGAACAGGAGGGGGAAAUGAAGAUGGAGAGAGAAUCCAGGAGUCACUGCAUCUACUCAUGGUUUGUGUUUGUGUUGAGCUUUAAGCUAUGAAGGGGCAGACUUACCAGUAGGUUAUCGUAGAUGUAGCUUAAUUUAAAGUAGGCUAAUUAAGCAAAACAAUAGAUAGAAUGGAAAUUUGGUUGUGAGGUUAUGACUGCCGUGUUAGCUACAGUUUAACGUGGUGACAUCAAGGUAAGUCAGCAUACACUCAUAUGUAAUUUCAUACAUUAUGUUGAGACUUUUGAUUCUUCAAGUUGAAUCACAGCUACAUUAAACCCACUUGUAGUCUGACUGGAAAGCGUCCACAGGUGAAUUGAUACUUCCUAAAAACCAUCUGGAAAUUAUUUGUUUUGUAAUUCAGAGGGAAGCAUAACUGCAAAAAAAACAGGAAGGAAAUGAGAUCUAUUUUGAAGAUUGCAUUUAUAAAACCAGGUAGGUUGUUUUGUAUGGACACAUAUUUAUGAAUAAGCAGACCGCUCUUGCAACGUUUGUCCAGUUUACAGAAUCAUCAGGAGGUUUGGAAAGCAAAGCUUUGAUGCGCUACCGUAUUUUUUUUCCCUCCCCCUACGUAAGACAGAAAAUAAGAAUGCUUUUAAAGAGAAAGAAAACUCAUUGAAGACUGCAGACCCCGUUGUCCCUGUGCUAUCAGAAGGUUGUUUUGGCUUCUGCUGCGCUGAGGAUCGUGCUGCUGUCUGAGGUGCUGAAGCCAGAGGGCUGCCAGGGGGUCCUGGAGAUCCCCAUGUACCUACGGUGUGCCUGGUGCCCCUGCUACACAAGUCAAAACUACACCCACUGUGAUUUGAGUGUGGGAAGACUGUAGUUCAUGUGGAUGUGUUUGAUGAGGGGUUUAAGUGGCAAUCAGUUGUGACCAUUGGGCUCUUGGUUAAAAUAGGGAGACUGUAAUCAGUCUUUAGACCAGCACAGAGGUGUGGCUUGCGAGAAAGAUACAUGUGAAUUUUAUGACAUUAAUGCUUAAUGGUAGGCCACUGCAUUCUGGAAAUUCUUUGAAAGACUUUGGUAUAUUUGAAGAUGAGCACGUGUGCAGUCUACACUGCAAUGCUUCCUGGAUGAUAUUCUAUUUGUGUAAGCAUUAUUUUGUGAAAGUUUUGCCUUUAAAUCUGGGCUAAUGCAAAGAGGUGCCACUUGGACUCGUUGGUCUUUAUUGUUGUGCAUCCAAUAUGAAAUUCAAAAGGGUAACACUCUAAAAACAGGAGCACGUUGUCUGAGAAUGAUGGUGCUUCACCAUUUUUAUGCAUGAUUAGAAUCUAGAAUUCACAGGACGUGCUUAGCCAUAAGAAGCUGUUCAAGAGAACUAAUGUGAGUGAAUUCAGUUUGUUAGAAAGAUUCUUUCUGCUUGCUUGCAUGAGAUUGGAAGUUUAAGGUGGUUAUCUUGAAGAGGUGAUAAUAAAGGUUCCUGAUGAUGUAAGCGUAAAACGGAAGCAUGCAGCAGUUUAGCUGUUGAUAGAAAUAAUGCAUUCGUGACUCAAAAUAGUUGGCUGUGCCUGAAAAUUCUCCUUGAGAUUAAUUUCCAUUCCAGCACACGCUAUCGCUGGGAUUUGAUAACAUCCUCCAUCCAGGACUGCACAAGAGAAGUCUGAAAUCAAGCUGUGAUGAAAAGGAACGAACUGAUUGGUCUCUGCAAGCUCCGAGCCAUGGAGAUAGAGUUAGAAAGUGUCAUGAUGACGUGAAGGGUUGAAAGCCAAUCGAAUGGAGCGUGAGGGAUCUGCCAAACUGCUAUUUCAGAUGGCAGAGCCGGCUAAAGAAACCGUGUAUUUUUAUCCUGGGAGACAACAGUUCAGAUUAGGGGAAAAUAAACAUGAAGUUGAAAUCAGAUUUUCUUGGCACGGCACUUCAGGAGUGCUUGCACAUUAACGUGUGAUGAUAUUGUCUCUAUAAUAAGUACCAUGGUUGUGCAAUAUGUUAACAUGUUAUAAAAUGAGAAAUACAACCCAUUAAUUUAUUAUGCCUAUUUAAUCACUUUGUCUUCGUGCCUGCUCUGUUAUUUCCACACAUCUGCUUUUUAACAUCAUUUUCUGUUUAAUGUUCAGUAACUUGCAUUGUUUUAAAGGUUCUUAAUUUUCUGUCUGCUUUUUCCUUUUGCUCUCCUCUUUUCUAGGUCUUCAGAUGAAAAUCCCGUGCAGUUUUACUUAGGUUAUCAAUCUUUUGUUUUUUAAAAAUGCACCAGAAACGCAGCAGCAAAGCACAGAUCCUUGAAGGCUAUGAAUUCGCCGUUCCAUUGCAGAUGUUACAGUUCUGCUCGGCUGCCACAAGAGGGACGUAGAAGGAAAGCUAAGAUAACCGGGCAGAAAAAAACAAACCGAAAGAACAGCUUCAUGCAGCUUCAGCUGCACUGUGGCUGUGAAAAACUGUUCCUGAAGCAAACUGGAUGAGGACUUUAAAGCAGUGGAGGAAAAGGAGGAGAAGAUCUUGACAUUUCUUCAGUGAUCUCGGAUGGAGAAGAUACUUAGAUAUGAAGCUCCCAAGGAUUAACACGUUUUCGUGGACACCUCAGUUCUUUUUGAUGUGAAAUGCAGAUUUUGAGACCAAGACCUUAUCUUUCCACUGCCAAUAUUGAAGCUCCAGGAAUCAGCAAGAAUGAAACUUUCAUACAGCUGUAGCAGCUAUAGUUUUGGUCCAGAAAAUCCAAGAGUCCUAUGUCAUGUGGAAGAAACCCAGAGCACAGAAACAUUGCACGCAGUUGUUAGCAAAUGUUAUUAAGAGAAAUGAAAUGCUAUGCCUUUAUUUCAGCUAUCGUAUGAAGAUUGAGCAAAGGUGCUCUGGGAAGCCUGCUGGCAAGUAAGUGGCAUUCCAAUCUCAGACAAGAUGCGAACAUAUUAGGCCACUUUCUUGGCUGCAGGUUAUUAUAUGACUUUACUGGAAGAAAUUAUUGCAAAAAGGAUCUGAAAAUCUGCAAAGCAGUAAUUCUAAGCAGCACUUUGGUAAUGAUGUCAUUUAAACAAAAAGUAAUAUGAAGCGUUGGGCAGUGACCUCCUUUGGAUCAAGAGCAACACAAGGCCGCUAGCCAAAAUGCAGGAGAAGCUGCACGGUACAAUGAAAGUGUUGUGGAAAGUCCAAAGCAUGUAAGGCCAAGGUCAAGUACAAAAAGAGCGUAUUGGGAUGACCCUAGGAGUGGCAGAAUAAACAGUGCAGUAUUUUCUACUGCAAAGAUGUAGAAGGAGGUGGAGUGGAGGAAGCCAUUUGUAAUUCUAGUCAUGAACUGUGGACGUUUACGAUCGGUCUGUAAGUGUUUGAGUACGAAACCAAAUCAUGGGCUAGCUGGAGCAUUGGAAGACUGAAUGAUGGCUGUGAUAUCACACUGAUCUUAAACUAUUUGUUCUUUUGGAACUUAAGUCCAGUUCUAACUUGCAUCUGCCUCUUCUCUACUGAGGAGGCAGAAAAGCUGAAAUGAAACAAGGGACAUUAUUCUUGAUGGAUAUGAGGAAACAUCAGAAAUACCUUGUAAAAACUGUGUUAUUGUAGAUUUUUUCGUAAUGGAAUGACCCAGUAUGGAAGCACAAGUGUCUGUAUUGAAGGAUCAAACUAAGGUAUGGAGAUUAACCCUUUGUGUUAUGUCUGCGUAGCUCUAACUCAGUUCAUCUAUGAAUGGCUGGAGGCCUGAUCAGCUUUGGAGGCUCCACAUGCCUCACCCUUCUUCCCCUCUCUGUAUCACUCAUUCUGUGUUCCGCUAGAGGCCACCACAAACCUCAUCUGAAAAAAAAAACCAGAAAGGGAGGGGGCAUCUGCAGGAAUAAAUGGCAACAGUUCUUAUUUUAUAGCGAGGUUUAGAAGUGCAACUCAGAUCUUCUUAGAACAGUUUCUCUUCCCGCUGUGUUAGGAGUAACUCCCAGAUGUGACUUGAAGCCAGCAAAUGAUCUCAGGCAGUGAGAUCAGAUUUUGCUGAGUAUACAGGGUUAGGCAUGUUCAUUGCUCUCCUUCCAGAAGGUCUCCUAUCCAAACCAUGCAUUGACAUUUGAUUUCCUUGGGAACAUUGGCCUUCACAGUAGCCUUUACAGCAUUUGUGUAUAGAAACCCACGGUUACAACGUUGUCUCUUGCCUUGCCAGUGGAGAAUUGCUUUUGUGAUGGCUAUUUAUUCACCUGAGGCGUGGGGUUCCUGGAAUUGUGUGUGCUUUCCUGGAAGAAGUGUUGAACAGUGUAAUGGUUUGUGCAGAAAGCAUUCAAAGACUGAAGCAAUAUCAAGGAGAGACAAGGCAGCUGGACUUCAGGGAGAGCUCUCAGAUUCCACUCCAUGAUAGGUAUUUCUCUGGCCAUCACUGUCUCAGGAACUCAGAGUCGCUUACACCCAAAGUGUUUUGGCUUGAAUAAAGGUUAAUGGGAGAAACUGAGUGCUGUGCUGGCCAAAAGCAAUUGGCCUUUAUUGAGGGAAGCAUUGCAAAAAUACAGGGGAUCGAACUUCUGGUUUCCAUGUGGAAUUAGAAUUAGUGAAAUCUUGUGACUGUGGCAAUUAGAUGCCAUCUGUGUCCUUGCAGUCUUUGGAAGGAGGAAGUUUAAAUGAAGCAAGGACUUAACUGUGAAUCUUUACCCACAUCUCGAUACUGAAAAAUAUUGUGAAAAAGAUUGAUUUUACUUUUGUGGCUGUUUUUCAGAUUUGGGUGGGGUCAGCAAAGGGAAUUGCCAGAAAUCUCCAGAGCCAGUUCAUUCCUGUGAGAUUUCUGGUCUGAUAUUUUCUUGAAAACUCGAGAGGUUUGGAUUACUCUCCAGACUUCAUCUUUCUGGAGAGCUUCCCACUGCUUUUUAAGCCUGUGUACACGAAUGCCAUUUUUCCAUUUCUCUAGGGGAGAAAAUAAACCAUAGUCUGAAUGAUGCUGAAUUUUCCUCUGAGUUUAUAAAUGAUCUAGAAAGGAGCAGAAAUUUCAAAUAAAGCCAGUAAUCUGUAAUGUCUCAAAGCUUAUGAAAGUAAAAUGGGCACGAAAAGAGAUCUGUGGUGAGGUGGGCUGAUGCUGUAGCAUAGCAGGGAAGGCGCGUGUUUACCAGCCGGUUCCCUCCACAAUCAGUGACAGUGAUGAAACCAUAAAUGUUCACAAACUGUUCACUUUGAGCUAAUAGGCUUCUUGAAUUGAUCCUCUUGACUUGCACCUGCUAAUAACUUCCUAGGUAGCCUGGACAAGGAGUUCCCUUCAGCACUGAGAAAGCUGCAGUUUGGAUCGUGUUCUUAAGUCAUACCUGGCUGCUUUCGGGCCUGAGUGGGGAGAUACUUCUGCAUGAGAGCAGCUGAGUAUUUAACAGUUAUCUAACCAAAUGCAGAUGAGGGCUCAGCUGCCUGGAUCUGCGCUAUUCUUUGUGUUUGAAAAUCCACCUUCAUGUUGUAUGAGAUCUCUCUUUUGAGGGAGACAAAGUGAUCCUGCUCCUGAGGACGAUACCUGUCCUCCCCCACCCCCGGAGCGUGGGCCUCGUGAGCAUCUUUGUCUAUUCAUCCGUAUGACAGCUGCAAUUAUCUUUGACAGAAAGCCUGUGGAAUGCCUCAGGCAAGCACUGGAAGUGGGGACAGCAGUGUGGAGAAUGUUCUGCCUUGUGAUGGGAUGGGCUCUGUCUAGAAGGCGCUGGGUUUGUCAGCCUCUGCUUAUCCUCGAGGAUUCUUUUGUGGUCAAGGCUUUGGGUGCAAUGAGGGCACAAAAGGCAGCUUUCAGGAAGACAAUUCAUUUGUGUUUGUUCAAAAUCUAACCCAGUUAUUUACAGCAGUUGAAGUGAGGUAUAAGCAAAAAAGAUUGAAAGACAAUGUUCUGCUUUACCACCACCAUAGAAUUGUAUUUCUUUUUUUUUUUUAAUUAAAGCUCUGCUAUAAUGAUAACCAUGUAUAUUUUUUCACAUUAAAGAUUCUCAUUUUUCUACACGGAUAAAGAAGCCCUUGCAGAUACAGCCUUGACAAUCUGCUGGUUCUUCUUAUCUCCCUAUUCUUUGUGCCCUUCAUGGCUCUGACAUUCAUCUUGAUUCCUUGACAACUGAAGAAAGCACUUACACCUGGAGACUUUUCCCUGUAAUUCAUAAAGGCUACUUUUCCACGCUGCUCUUGUGUAAGGAAAGGUCAGAUUUCUGUGUGCAAGUAUUAAACUAUUCAUACUAAAACUGAACUUAAGUGUAGCCUCCUGAGACAAGGAGUGUUACAUUUUAUGAUCAACUUCUUUCUUCCCUUUCUCUGAACCAUCCAGUAUUUUGAAGAAUUGAGUUUGGAGGAAGCAGUGCUCAGGCUUCUGACCUGGUGCCUUCAGCAUCCCUAUAGUCAGUGAAGAUGAGAGGGUGAUUCAGUUAAUCCUUUGUGACUACUCUUCCUCUGUGUACAAUAUAACUUAAUUUCCACAGCUGAAAAAGUUCAUAUUUCUUGCAAGAGCUGAUUGCAGUUUUUAUUUUU